CUCGUAGGUGGCCAACUAAGUCAGACGUGAAAUCCCUCGGCUUAACCGGGGAACUGCGUCUGAUACUGGAUGGCUUGAGGUUGGGAGAGGGACGCGGAAUUCCAGGUGUAGCGGUGAAAUGCGUAGAUAUCUGGGGGAACACCGGUGGCGAAGGCGGCGUCCUGGACCAAUUCUGACACUGAGGAGCGAAAGCCAGGGGAGCAAACG
rnacentral:rRNA from 1 species